UAACGGUCCAGGUCCACCCGACUAAUCCCCGUUCGCUCCGAGAGGCACGGGAGCUGGCCCAAGGUGAAUUGUCACUUGUGAGAAUCGAACCCGGGUUAUCCCGAAAUUCUCCCCCACAAAAGAACUCACUUGUCACUUGAGCUACCCCUUUGGAUUUUGUGAAAUUCAAAUGCAAUCGAGUAAAGCAAU